CUUCUCCAAUGUGUGUUUUUAGGUUCCUUGUACAGAAGAAGGGUCGAACACCCACCAGGGUCACAAAACUACCCCUGGAAAUGCCCUAAACUCCCUUGAAAGCCUUGUCAAUUGUGCAUUUAUUUCUUUAGGUUCCUGGUACAGAGGAAGGGUCGAACUCCCACCAGGGUCACAAAACUACCCCUGGAAAUGCCCUAAACUCCCUUGAAAGCCUUGUCAAUUGUGCAUUUAUUUCUUUAGGUUCCUGGUACAGAGGAAGGGUUGAACUCCCACCAGGGUCACAAAACUACCCCUGGAAAUGCCCUAAACUCCCUUGAAAGCCUUGUCAAUUGUGCAUUUAUUUCUUUAGGUUCCUGGUACAGAGGAAGGGUCGAACUCCCACCAGGGUCACAAAACUACCCCUGGAAAUGCCCUAAACUCCCUUGAAAGCCUUGUCAAUUGUGCAUUUAUUUCUUUAGGUUCCUGGUACAGAGGAAGGGUCGAACUCCCACCAGGCUCACAAAACUACCCCUGGAAAUGCCUCCAACAACCCCUAUGAAUGCCUUGUCAAAUGUGUGUUUCUUUAGGUUCACGGCACAUAGGAAGGGUCAAGCUACCACCAGGGUCAUAAAACUAGUCUUGGAAAUGCCUCCCACAACCCCUAUGAAAGCCUUGUCAAAUGUGUGUGUUUGGGCAGUGAAAUGUUUAGGAAUAAUGUGUUGGGAUCAGAGAAAGGGAUAGGAUGAGGGGACAGCUUGGGAUAAUGUUUGGUAUUAUGGAAGUAGGAGAGAGAGAGAAAAAAAAAACACAUGGCAGGCUUUUUGAUAAGUUUUCCUUUCUAUAAAAAGUUUUAAAGUAACGGAGAAGGCUUUUUGUGGGUCAUUAUUUUCCCUUUUUGUGUGAAGUUUGGGUCAUGGGAUUGUACGGAAUUUUGCUGGUAAUAUUUUUCUACCUUUUUCUCUACCAUUCAGUAGGCUGGUAGAUGGGUCCUUUGACUAUGUUCAGAUGAAUUUUGGUUGAUUGUGGUGGUCAGAAUAGAGAGUCAUGCAUUAAGUGUGGGUUUCAGGAUGGUAAAGAAUUUUUUGUAAUAUUUUCUGAACCUUUUUCUCUACCAUUCUGUUACUGUGUGCGGCAGAUGGUUGAUGUUCGGUAGGCUGGUAGAUCGAUCCUUUGGCUAGGUUGGGAUGAAUUUUGGUUGAUCUCGGUUGAUUGUGGUGGUCAGAAUAGAGAAAGAGAGAGUUCAAUAAUCCAAACAGUCAUCCAAGAAGCACAUCACUGCCCCAUUUACAUCGCUCCAGUCAGGGAGGGAUAUUUGGAGGCUGGAGGAGAGGGAGGAUUUAAGAUAGACUGAAGGAGAGGGAGGAAAAAUAGAGAGAACUUGGGACAAAAUGAAGUAAAAAUUCUAGUUAGUCAGCUCCCUCUCUCUUUCUGAAGCCUGAGUAUAUACAGUUAAAGAAGGGUCACUCUACGGGCAGUAUAAUAAUCAUGUGUUUACCUUUGAAUACAUGUCGUAAUAACCACUAAAACACACCAUGAAAUACCUCCUGUUCCCUCUCACUGAAGCCUUAGUAUAUGCUGUCAACAAAGGCUCAUAUUGUGGCCAGUAUAAUGUUUACCAUUCAAAACGCUGUAAUAACCAAUAAAUUACACUGUGAAAUAAUGUCAAAUUUCCGCUGUACAUUCACCAUUCCUUUCUCUAGUAGUUUGACGUACCAUGCAAUCGGUUGUCCCUGUACGGAAAUGUGACGUCUUCCUGAAAAUUGCUCACUUAACAUUAUCAGUAUCACGGCUCUCCCUAACCCGGCAGCUUUGAAUAUACCAGCAUUUGUUUAUCCAUCCUUCCUCUUCAAUCUGCCACAAACUUGGUGUCUCUACGUCAUGUGGUGUGUAUGUUAUGACGUUACGAAGUGCAGUGACGUGUUAGGCUGUCAGUAGGUCUUGUUCUGAGUGCUGCAUAGGUUGUGCUUAGCUUGGUGUGGCUAACGUCCCUCCCUCUCCAUGCACUCAAUUUGGUAAUUUUUUGUAAAAUUUGAUCAUUUUUUGCAAACUACAAUAUUACGUAGGAAACAGUGAGGACUGAAAAAUGUCACCUGCUCAAGCACACACCUUUGACAGGGCCUUCAUAGGAGUUGUGGGCAUUUCCAGGGGUAGUUUGAUGACCCUGGUGGUAGUUUAACCCUUCUACAGGGGACUUCGUGGUGCAGUGGUUAUCACACUCGGCUCACAACCGAGAGAGCCCGGGUUCGAUUCCCGGGCGGAGUGGA